GCCUACAUGCGUCAGCAGCUUUACACAACGAUCAUUGUGACGUCCAAGUGUCUCUAUGUGUGUGUUUGCGUGGAGGGAUCACUUCACGGGGAAACUAUCAGCUGGCCGCAGCUGGAAUGAUAACGCAACUCCAGGUCAAAGCACAUUGAUGAACCAGAGCCGAGUCACAUCGGGCCAGAGGAGCGUCGGCUGCACGAAGCUGAAGCUAAAGCUGCAACGAUGAGUCAAGUGGGAAUGAUGUAAACUAAAGUGUAAUAUGACUUGUGUUGUCACGAGAGGCUGGGUCUGGGAAGGGAGAUUACGUUCACCGGCGAUGGCUGUAACUACUAUGGCUCCACCUGCUGGUGGAGUUAGGAACUCCACCCUCAAACUCAGCGCAUUCCCCUCACACCUGAAACCCAUCAGGGUAUGACGACCGGGAGGCCUUCAUAAGGGCGGAAGACACACCGUUGAGGGGGGAAGAGACGAGCUGCAGAUUGGGCCCGCUGCAGAAGAGCAGGCCAAGACAGAAGGAUUCCCGGGGGGCAGGAGAGACCGGGAGGACGGUGUUUUCUCCUUAAAGAAGUGGAUUUCCGUUUCCCCUCCAAGGUCAAGACAUUAGUUAAGUUUGACCGGCGAAGAUCGACCGAACCCCGAGUUACCCCCUGUUUUGACUGUUUAAUCUGAAGGACGUAAAUUAAAACCUUUUGUUUACAUUUUGAACCCGGUGUCCUCGCACUAUUUGAACUACCCCGGAGAGAGCGGCGGCGCCACUCGUGACAUCAGACUUUUUUGUGAAUAUAUAUAUAUAUAUAUAUAUAUAUAUAUACACAAAAGUAUGAACUUGUUCUUACAACAUACAUUACUAUGACUUUUUCAUGAUAGUUUUCACAAUGCACAUUUCCAUGACUUUUUGCAUAUUUUUAAUGACACGCCAUUGUGAGGACCCUCCUUGUCACACACAGGUGUCCCUGUUGCUCGUGGUCAUCUGAUUGCAGGUGCAGGACAUACAUUACAAUUACUUUUUUGUCUUCAAAAUUGAUAAAUAUGACUUUUUUUAUGGAAUAUUUUCCAAGAUAGUGUACUAUAACUUAACUAUUUGCUGUUCGAGGCGUUACAAUAUGUGUCUAUUUAAUGGGAUUCCGUGGAUAUUUUUUACAAAAUACACUACAAUCCCUUCAUAACAUCUUCAUAAAAUAUUUCUUAUUUCAAGUAAUUAUCAAACUACAGUGUGAUUUAGAAUAGGUAAAAUAGUAAAUAUUUAUAAAAUGAUGUACUAUGUAUUUAUAGUUAUAUUUAUUUAAUUGUAACUUUCACAUGUUUUUGACAUUUCUUAUGGAACAGUGUAGAAUUAAAUGAGAGUAUAACAAUAUUAUUUUCAUGCUAUUUUUU
ensembl:lncRNA